rnacentral:lncRNA from 1 species
UGUUGCACUGUUUUUUUUUUUUUUUUUUAGAGAGGUCUUGAAAACAUUGAUCUCUUGUGAUUAUGAAUUUCCACAAGACAACCAUGGAUUAUCAUAAACAGGACCAUAAGUAAGUGCACAUGGCCUUUUGUGAAAGAAGAGAUAAUUGUGAGAUGCUGUGAGAUUUCAUUGUCACUGUGUUUUAAAAACCUGUAUAUCUCGAUCAUUUCUUCGCUAGUUAUAGGAUGCUAUUAAGCCUAUAUAUGUGUUGUACCAUUAGAAUAAGCAACUAUAUUAAUUCUACAUUUUUUCAGUAAAAAAACAUGAAAAACUGUGUAUAUAGAUGCAAAUAUAGGCAUGUAGAGGCUAGCUGUUAAAGCCUGAAAUUUAGUAGCUAGUACAUUCAUACUACUUUUGUUAUUAAUGUACGAGAGAAUGGUAGUGUAUGUGACUGACUGACAAGUCAUUCUAUUUAUGUUUACACUACAGAAUAUGGCAGGUUUGGGUAAUUAUGGUAUCACAUCAGACAACACUCUUUUAAGAAGUACUAGAGUAUAUAUUUUCAUGGCAAGGUCAGCAAUUUGCAUUUAGAGAGCUUUUAAGUUAGGUGCUACUGAGGUUUUCCUUUUAACUUCUGGGGUGCUGCUGGACACUGCAGGUGCUUUACAACCCGCUUUCACCCUUCUAUGAAGCUACCAGGCAUUGCAGGGCAUGGUGACAGUCCACUGGCCCCUGAAGAAUCAUUCACAGAACAAAGCAGAUGCAAUGGGGGAAGCACUAAAGGAGCUUGUGCAAUGCCUACUUGAAAAUUUCCUUUCAGAUUCAGGGUGUGUUAUUUCCUGUCUAUUUCAACGUCUAGCCAAGACUGGGUCCUGGAUGAAACUGGUUGGCUAAUAUACAAUCCAGAAAAGGCAGAAAGGCAGACACUGUACCAGAACAAGCAAACUAAAAGGAGGUGAAACACAUGUAACUACCUUAUCAGCUGAAGAUUGGUUUCAGCAGCCUAAAAGCUUUUAGGGAAUCCUCUCUUUCUAUCAAAGAGAAGAAAAAAAUUAAAAAAAAAAAAAAAAUAAAAAAAAAUUACAAGUGGCUUUCA